CAAGUACUCCAUCCGUCUGGAAUUACUUGCCAUCAAAAUGGAUGUGUCUAGAACUAAAAUACAUCUAGAUACAUCCAUUUCAAUGACAAGUAUUUUCGGAUGGAGGGAGUACAAG
rnacentral:pre_miRNA from 1 species